rnacentral:lncRNA from 1 species
AGUAGUUUUGGGCUUGGCUGGUAGGCUGAACAACUUGGUAAAAUAUCAUAAAUGAACAUGACCAAUCAAAAUAAUUUCAAAAAAACUUACUUUAUAGCUUCUAAAGAAAUGGGGGGGUAAUUCAUUAUCGAUGAUUCGACCUUCAUAAAAUGAAGAGGAUUUGGUGUCAUGAGCACUUGACAUGGCUCCUCAUCCACAUAUGCAUUUAGCACAA